CCUACGGUGGGCAGCAGUGAGGAAUAUUGGUCAAUGGGCGCGAGCCUGAACCAGCCAAGUCGCGUGAGGGAAGACGGUCCUAUGGAUUGUAAACCUCUUUUGUCGGGGAGCAAAAGACGCCACGCGUGGCGUUCCGAGAGUACCCGAAGAAAAAGCAUCGGCUAACUCCGUGCCAGCAGCCGCGGUAAUACGGAGGAUGCGAGCGUUAUCCGGAUUUAUUGGGUUUAAAGGGUGAGCAGGCGGAAGAUCAGGUCAGCGGUAAAAUUGAGGGGCUCAACCUCUUCGAGCCGUUGAAACUGGUUGUCUUGAGUGAGUGAGAAGUAUGCGGAAUGCGUGGUGUAGCGGUGAAAUGCAUAGAUAUCACGCAGAACUCCGAUUGCGAAGGCAGCAUACCGGCGCCCGACUGACGCUGAGGCACGAAAGCGUGGGUAUCGAACAGGAUUAGAUACCCUGGUAGUC
rnacentral:rRNA from 1 species